rnacentral:rRNA from 1 species
GACAGAGGUGCCGAGCGUUAGGCGGAAUCACUGGGCUUAAAGCGUGUGUAGGCGGACUUCUAAGUACCUUGUGAAAUCCCACGGCUCAACCGUGGAACUGCUUGGUAUACUGGUUGUCUUGAGCCACUUAGGGGCAGUCGGAACAGACGGUGGAGCGGUGAAAUGCGUAGAUAUCGUGGAGACACCGGUGGCGAAGGCGGCAUCCUGGACCAACACUGACGCUGAGGAGCGAAAGCCAGGGGGAGCAAACGGGG